rnacentral:rRNA from 1 species
GCGUUGUUCGGAUUUACUGGGCGUAAAGGGCGCGUAGGCGGCGCAACAAGUCACUUGUGAAAUCUCCGGGCUUAACCCGGAGCGGCCAAGUGAUACUGUCGUGCUAGAGUGCGGAAGGGGCUACUGGAAUUCUCGGUGUAGCGGUGAAAUGCGUAGAUAUCGAGAGGAACACCUGCGGCGAAGGCGGGUAGCUGGGCCGACACUGACGUUGAGGCGCGAAAGCCAGGGGAGCGAACGGG